AGUUUCCAUUCUGUACGCGACUAUACUGCUUGUGUGAGCCCUAACAGACAGAAUCAGCUCAGAACAAAGGGUCUGGCUAUCUCCCAGGGAUGAACACGCACGCCGACUGAGCUUUUGGGGUGUUGAAAAGUCAACGCCUUCGCACAGAACUCUCCACCCCAACCUAGAAAUAACUGGCGUUCUGUUUUAUGUCAGUCCGGACACGCAAGCACUGCUCCUUUUGCGGGCCCCGUAAGCAUCCCCCCAGGCGGGAUAGGGAU
rnacentral:lncRNA from 1 species